GGAGGAGAUUAUGCUGAGUGAAAUAAGUCAAGCAGAAAAAGUCAAUCAUCAUACGGUUUCACAUACUUGUGGAAUAUAAGGAAUAACAUGGAGGACACGGGGAGAUGGAAAGGAGAAG